rnacentral:rRNA from 1 species
AUUGAACGCUGGCGGCAGGCUUAACACAUGCAAGUCGAGCGGAAACGAUGGGAGCUUGCUCCCAGGCGUCGAGCGGCGGACGGGUGAGUAACGCGUAGGAAUCUACCCAGUAGUGGGGGAUAGCCCGGGGAAACUCGGAUUAAUACCGCAUACGCCCUACGGGGGAAAGGCCGGGAUCUUCGGACCGGUCGCUAUUGGAUGAGCCUGCGUUGGAUUAGCUAGUUGGUAGGGUAAAGGCCUACCAAGGCGACGAUCCAUAGCUGGUCUGAGAGGAUGAUCAGCCACACUGGAACUGAGACACGGUCCAG